CGAGGCCCCGCGCGCGCCCGGCGCGGCUGGAUUUACUCUCGGGGGCUCGCGCUGCUGAGAUCCACUUGUCAGUUCAAGGGCAGGACAGAAACUCUGCAAACGGAGUCUUGCGAACAGGAAAUUUCUCAUUGACAAGUCUUAUCAGGAACCCAGGGAACCUCUGGAAAUCGGAACAAAUUCCAUCAGCAGGGACCCCAGUGUACAACAUUUUACGAUGGCCGAGAUACUAUCUUAUUCUCUGCAAUAAAUGCCCAAAGCUUUGGUAGGUGUGUGGUGGGUAUUAAAUGAUUAUACAGAGAAUGAAUAUAUAUGGUCUAUUUUUAUUUUAUCCUUAGUUAAUAUGCCUCUUAUCUAAUUUAUGUUCCUGAGUGCAGCUCAGCAACUUGGUGAUAGGCAAAGUCAAGGAAAAAGAAAACAUUUUGUGGAGUAAAAUCUGAGCCAAGGGUGCCUCCAAAUGUUGUCCCCGAUGAGGAGUGAGUUAUUCUUCCCCCAAGGAGCCACUCACAGUGGUUGGGGCCCUCAGAAACCGCAGCAGGCCUCCAAAACUGUGAAAAGCCAGCAGGCGGCUUGGCCAGUGCCAUCAAAUGUAACCGUGACGCAGCUAAAUUUCUGUACAUUGUAUCAAGGGUUGUCCUCAACCUUAGGAGGUUUCCCUGUGUGUCAGCUCACUGGGGGGAACAUCAAAGGGACUUAUGUGGCUUCCAAGAGCUGUCAGAAUGUUUGACUCUCUGGCAUUGUGCUGGCAUCACACGUUAAUUAAAUUAUAUGGCAGAAACACCACAAAGUCAAGGUC